GGAAUAUUGCAAAAUGGGCGAAAGCCCGAUGCAGCAACGCCGCGUGGGCGAUGAAGGCCUUCGGGUCGUAAAGCCCUUUUUGAGGGGAUGAGGAAGGACAGUACCCUCAGAAUAAGCCUCGGCUAACUACGUGCCAGCAGCCGCGGUAACACGUAGGAGGCGAGCGUUAUCCGGAUUUACUGGGCGUAAAGCGCGUGCAGGCGGAUUGGAGAGUUGGAUGUGAAAGCACCCGGCUUAACUGGAAGAGGCCGUUCAAUACUUCCAGUCUUGAGUGCAGUAGAGGGAACUGGAAUUUCGUGUGUAGUGGUGAAGUGCGUAGAUAUCCGGAGGAACACCAGUGGCGAAAGCGGCUUCCUGGACUGUAACUGACGCUCAGACGCGAAAGCUAGGGUAGCAAAC
rnacentral:rRNA from 1 species